rnacentral:lncRNA from 1 species
AUAGAGACUGACUCAUUUUGAAAAUAACACAUCGUGCCUUGAGUGUUGCAGAGAUGACCUUAGGAGGAAAGUUAAUUUAGAAAAGAUACUCAAUUUGGUAUUAUCUCCAAAUGUUGAUUCCUGGAAUCAUUACUCAUUACUUAGUCAGGCAAAACUUCCCUGGAUUUCAAGGGCUCUGGCUGGUGCCAAGAGGAAACUGGCCUGGGAGAGGAUGAAAUCGUAACUCCAGAAUUUGAACCUCUACCUCUUGCAGUUCACCUACCAUAGCAGCGAAGGGCUAACCCUUUGCUUGAACAGUGUGGAUUAUUAGGAAACAACCAUGAACAGCUCAAAGAAACCAAACUUUAUUUGUUUUGCCUUCAUGCACUAGAGAGGAAGCAGCACAAACUCUGCAUCUUGGGAGGAACCUGCAGAAAGGACUGCGAUCUCCGUCAGCCGGCUGAGUGUCCUGUGCAGAGAGAAGAAAAAAAGGAAAGAUCUCACAAAGAGUUUAUCUGAACUUUAUACAUUCUUGUAGUGCUGCUCUGGAACAAGUUCUGCUUUGGUUCACUCAGAGUUCAAUCUUUGGAGACUUAAAGUGCUCACUCAAAUGCACUGAACAAGAGGAAUGCUUCAGCUCCAAUCAGCUCCUGUCUUCUUUGGAAAUGCUGGCCCUGAGGCUCUGCCUAAUAACCUGUGAUCAGCAUCCCAGUCAUGUGCUGGAUAGACAACUGAAGAAGCUCACAGACCUGUCUUUCCACGAUUUGGACAAAGCAAAUAAGGAGCUAUGAGGGAAGCUUUCACCCAUCUCUGCUGGAGGUGGCCAGUGUGUCCCUGCAGUGUGGUCCUGUGCUGGAGCUGAACCCCAGAGCUGUGCCCCUCUGCGAGAGCAGGAAAAGGAGAGGGAAGGGAAAGCUCCUGCUCUGCCUUCAGUGGUCACCCAGGUAGUAAAAGUGCUGGCAAGAAAUCUGCUCACUGGAAAAUGAAUGCAUCCCUUGAUGUACCUUAUGAUGCGCAAUAGGACAUGCAGUGGUGCGUAUUGCUCUCUGCCUGACUGGCUCCUUUUUUGUGAAUGUUUCUCCAGUUUAGUGGAGUGUAGCUCUUAAUUUUCCUGGACAUUUUAACUCCUUGUAUCAAGUGCUUUACUGAAUUAAUCUUUUUGCUUGCUU